GAAAUGGGUUCCUGUCUCUGGACCAGUAGAGGGGAUUGUUGUAGCGUCCGUCACCUUCCACAGGAAUAGGAGUUUGACAUGGAAAUCCGUAGCUCUCCAGUACAUCUUUGAGGUGUCAUAACAGUAUUAGGCCUUAGGUUCACGUCAAAUCAUGGCCGACGGAAAAUAAUUCCUGAGUUUUUCCCUUGAUUUCAGGACUUUAGCAGAGAGGAUUGAGUGAUGAGGCCAAACACAUGGCUUUCAAGCACCUAAUUGACUUUGAUGUAAACAAACUUGAACGCCUUGCUGGAUGGGUAUGUAUUUUUU